rnacentral:rRNA from 1 species
AUACGGAGGGUGCGAGCGUUACUCGGAGUCACUGGGCGUAAAGCGUCCGUAGGCGGUCGGGUAAGUCGGGUGUGAAAGCCCCGGGCUCAACCUGGGAGGUGCACCCGAUACUGCUCGACUCGAGUGCGGGAGAGGAUGGCGGAAUUCCCGGUGUAGCGGUGAAAUGCGUAGAGAUCGGGAGGAACACCAGUGGCGAAGGCGGCCAUCUGGCCCACAACUGACGCUGAGGGACGAAAGCGUGGGGAGCAAACAGGAUUAGAAACCCCUGUAGUCC